rnacentral:tRNA from 1 species
AUUUAAAUAGCUUAUAUAGAGCAUAGUGUUGAAGACACUGAGGAGAUUAAACAAUUUUUAAAUA